UAAAAAACGAAGAUCAUCGUGGAAGUUACUGAUAAGGGGACGAGUAGGGAGAUAGAGGCCUCGCAGGGGUUAGACACGGUGGAAAGGAUGAUGAAUCGUUCGUCGUUAGUGCCAACCGCGACCACCGUCUCUCCCACCCUCUCCACUCGCACACCACCUACGUACGUAUGCCUAGAUGGGAACGAUCCAACGACACGGUGUUCCGUUUUACACAAUCAGUAAACCGUUCUGCGACGAACCCACGCCACUCCAACGGGACGUAGGGAACGGUGGCAGUCGAAGACUCUGGAGGCGGGCUAAAUUUUAAUAAAGAGCGCGUUCUCUAAGCGGGGACAUCGGCGCACCAUAAUUCGGCAGCCGAUUCAGUCGGUCUCCUCUGUGUGACCGGCUCGAGCAACACGGAUACCAGUGGCAGCUAAUUAAGCCGCGUAAUGAGCUCGUCCCCGCCAGUUAAUUAUUUUCGAAAUGGUUUUUUCGACUGGCGAGGAAAUGGAUACCAGGAACGGUUUCCCUCCGACUGUUCACAAGCUCCUCCU